UACGUAGGGGGCAAGCGUUGUCCGGAUUUAUUGGGCGUAAAGAGCGUGUAGGCGGUCAGGUAGGUCGGUUGUGAAACUGGAGGCUCAACCUUCAGAGGUCGACCGAAACCCCCUGGCUAGAGUCCGGGAGAGGAGAGUGGAAUUCCUGGUGUAGCGGUGAAAUGCGCAGAUAUCAGGAAGAACACCCGUGGCGAAAGCGGCUCUCUGGAACGGUACUGACGCUGAGACGCGAAAGCGUGGGGAGCGAACAGG
rnacentral:rRNA from 1 species